rnacentral:rRNA from 1 species
GUAGUCAUAUGCUUGUCUCAAAGAUUAAGCCAUGCAUGUCUAAGUAUAAAUAAUAUUUACUGUGAAACUGCGGAUGGCUCAUUAAAUCAGUUAUAGUUUAUUUGAUAAUUGCUUACUACAUGGAUAACCGUGGUAAUUCUAGAGCUAAUACAUGCGCAAAGACCCGACUUCUGGGAGGGUUGUAUUUAUUAGAUACAAAACCAAUACGGAGCAAUCCGGUCCCUUGGUGAAUCAGAAUAACUAAACGGAUCGCAUGGCCUUGUGCCGGCGACGAAUCAUUCAAAUUUCUGCCCUAUCAACUUUCGAUGGUAAGGUAUUGGCUUACCAUGGUUACAACGGGUAACGGGGAAUA